AACGUAGGGUGCAAGCGUUGUCCGGAAUUACUGGGUGUAAAGGGAGCGCAGGCGGACCGGCAAGUUGGAAGUGAAAACUAUGGGCUCAACUCAUAAAUUGCUUUCAAAACUGCUGGCCUUGAGUAGUGCAGAGGUAGGUGGAAUUCCCGGUGUAGCGGUGGAAUGCGUAGAUAUCGGGAGGAACACCAGUGGCGAAGGCGACCUACUGGGCACCAACUGACGCUGAGGCUCGAAAGCAUGGGUAGCAAACAGG
rnacentral:rRNA from 1 species